rnacentral:rRNA from 1 species
UACGUAGGGUGCAAGCGUUAAUCGGAAUUAUUGGGCGUAAAGCGUCCGCAGGUGGCGAUUCAAGUCUGCGGUCAAAGACUGGGGCUUAACCCUGGAAAGGCCGUGGAAACUGAAUAGCUAGAGUGCAGUAGGGGUAGAGGGAAUUCCCGGUGUAGCGGUGAAAUGCGUAGAGCUCGGGAAGAACAUCGGUGGCGAAAGCGCUCUGCUGGACUGCAACUGACACUCAGGGACGAAAGCUAGGGGAGCGAAUGGG